GCAAGAUUUCCUCAACAAGUGCACAGGUACCACGAGUUCUGUCGGCAUUCCAGAUUGACAUUGGAUUUAACAAUGAAUAAUGUUCCCGAGGUAGGAUCAAGCAUGUGAGCUUCAACAGAGCAACUACAUCAGCGUCCUGUACAGAUCUUGAGGUUCCAUAACCAAAAUAGUCAUAACGCUUUAACUGAAAUUCCGGACGAUUUUCUCCAUCUUCAUCAACACCACGUACUUCAGCCUCUCCUUCCCAUAUGAAAUAGAUUCCAGCUCCUGUUUCACCCUCACGAAGAACGUAUUCUCCGCUCUCGUAGCGCUUAACGACAACCACUUCAGCAAUUGCCCUUAAAGACAAGCUAGGC
rnacentral:misc_RNA from 1 species